GAUGAAGAACGCAGCGAAAUGCGAUACUUGGUGUGAAUUGCAGAAUCCCGUGAACCAUCGAGUCUUUGAACGCAAGUUGCGCCCGAAGCCACUAGGCCGAGGGCACGCCUGCCUGGGCGUCACACGUCGUUGCCCCCCACCAUCUACUCCUUCGGGAUUGCGGGGGGCGGAUGAUGGCCUCCCGUGCGCCUAGCCGCGCGGUUGGCAUAAAUACCAAGUCCUCGGCGACGCACGCCACGACAAUCGGUGGUUGCGAAACCUCGGUUGCCCGUCGUGUGCGUUCGUCGCGCAUCGAGGGCUCGAAAAAAUGCUCGGCUCCGGCUCGGCUUUCAACGCGACCCCAGGUCAGGCGGGGUUACCCGCUGAAUUUAAGCAUAUCAAUAAGCGGACGA
rnacentral:misc_RNA from 1 species